CUUUUCCCUAGACCCUCAAUCUGGAAAAAGAAAGAAACGUUCUCCUUCCCCAAAGCUUCACUUUUCCCAAAAAACUCCCUUCUUCCCCAUACGCCCCACGCUCCUCUCCCAUCAAUCUCUGCCAAAGAAUGGUUAUGAACCGCCUGAAAAUGUCAAUUUUCGGCGGUUUUCAACAUAUCUCCCUAUCCUCCAUAAAUCACGACCUCCUCCUAUCAAACUUUACAUCCCUUGCAUCAUAUUUUCUGAACCAAAACAGACCUCAAAAGCCUCAUCAGCGCCACUGCUACACCUGAAAAGGUGAAAGACGUGAAGAACCAUCGGAUUUGGGCUCGUUAUCCUCUUAAUCUGAUGGGUGUGAGGUUCCAUCAUUUUUUGAACUUAGUUGAGGCCCCAAAUUGGCUAUAAAAAGAGAACUUUGGCUCUCUUUCAAGCAUCCAACAACGAUCGAAAUCCAUCAAGAAUCGAUCGAAAAAAUCAACUAAGAAAAUCAGAGAGUUUCAGCGAUAGAGAGUAUUUUGCAUCAUAAACAUCUUUCAAGCGUUUAUAAGUUCAAUAACUAUUUCUCUUCUUGUCCUCCUGUUUUCUGUUUUGAAUUAGAGCUCGAGGAAGUUCGAAGGUAAAAUCUCUUGACGAAACGCCCCCUAGUUUGUUGCUCCAAAGAAGGUUUCCCUUGAGUUUAGCAUCACAAACUCAUCGUAGCUUCACUUGUUGAUUAUGAAGCUAGAAUUUACUCUUGAUUACAAGUACGAUUAAAGCACUUCUAAAGUUUAGAUUCAUAUUUUUGCCUUCCAUUGCGUCCUGUCUUGCUUAAAGCUCCCUCACAUUUGCUCGCGUUGAAUCCUUGCUACUAAUACAAGGAGAUUUAGCCUUAACUAUUUAAUAUGACUGAUGUCAUGGUGUGAUAA